GACGAACGCUGGCGGCGUGCCUAAUACAUGCAAGUCGAACGCAGUGGGGACGGGUGCGUAACACGUGGGUAACCUCCCAUCAGAGGGGAUAACACUUGGAAACAGGUGCUAAACCGAUACUGAUGGAUGGACCCGCGGUGCAUUAGCUAGUGGGGGGGGUAACCGCUCACCAAGGCCACGAUGCAAAGCAGAGCGGAAAGGUUGAACGGUCAGACUGGGACUGAGACAAGGCCCAGACGCAUCCGAGAGGCAGCAGUAGGGAAUCUUCGGCAAUGGACGAAAGUCUGACCGAGCAACGCCGCGAGAGUGAAGAAGGUUUUCGGAUAGUAAAUCACUGUUGUUAGAGAACCGGUAUCGAACCAGAAAGCCACGGCUAACUACGUGUCAGCAGCCGCGGUAAUGC
rnacentral:rRNA from 1 species